GGUAGUCCACGCUGUAAACGUUGGGCGCUAGGUGUGGGGACUGUUUCCACGGUUUCCGUGCCGUAGCUAACGCAUUAAGCGCCCCGCCUGGGGAGUACGGCCGCAAGGCUAAAACUCAAAGGAAUUGACGGGGGCCCGCACAAGCGGCGGAGCAUGCGGCUUAAUUCGAUGCAACGCGAAGAACCUUACCAGGGCUUGACAUGCACGGUGCACCUCUAGAGAUAGAGGGUCCUUUGGGGCCGUGUGCAGGUGGUGCAUGGUUGUCGUCAGCUCGUGUCGUGAGAUGUUGGGUUAAGUCCCGCAACGAGCGCAACCCUUGUCCUAUGUUGCCAGCACGCACUUCGGUGUGGUGGGGACUCGUGGGAGACUGCCGGGGUCAACUCGGAGGAAGGUGGGGACGACGUCAAAUCAUCAUGCCCCUUAUGUCCUGGGCUGCACGCAUGCUACAAUGGCCGGUACAAAGGGCUGCGAUACCGUGAGGUGGAGCGAAUCCCAGAAAGCCGGUCUCAGUUCGGAUCGGGGUCUGCAACUCGACCCCGUGAAGUCGGAG
rnacentral:rRNA from 1 species